AGGAGGUAUUGUGUUAUACUGUACUAUAACAGGGGAGUUGGUAUGGUUUUAUACUGUAUACUAUAACAGGGGAGUAGGUAUGGUUUUAUACUGUACUAUAACAGGGGAGUAGGGAUGGUGUUUUACUGUACUAUAACAGGGGAGUAGGUAUGGUUUUAUAGUUCAUUAUUUACUUUGUGUGAUUUAUUCCUGUGAUUGUUCUGUAUGAAGUUUUAAACAACCUGGCACCUGACUUGUAUAAAAAUCUCAACUCUUGAGAUUUCCUCAAGUCUAAGAUCUCCCAUAGACAAUACAUUGCUUGAGAUUUCCUCAAGUGUAAGAUUUCCCAUAAACGAUACAUUGCUUGAGAUUUUUCAUACAAGUGUGGCCAGAAGUGGACAGAACUUAUCUCUUGGCCAUUGGUUAAGAUUGAUUUAUUGAAAUGUUGUUGGAGUCGGCUAUUACUAUAUAUCUGCAUGGAUUCUUAUCACUAUGUUAUACAAAAUGUUCAUCAGUUUGAAAUUAAAAUGUCAUUUGGAGAGCUUGUUUAGCUUAGUUUGGUACAUACUAGCAUCCCUGUUCCAGAGGAAAAGAAUGUAUACAUGAAAUGUCUAGCUGCAUGAAGUCAGAGUGGUUCGGCCCAAUAGGGGAAAUGAUUACAUUUGUGAACAGACUACAUGUACUUCUUAAAUAUAAGCUGAUAUACAUGUACUUGGAAGUUAAUAUCUAUAAAGCAUACCUUGACCUGUUAGCCGGUACAUUAUGUAUUACAAAACUAGACAAAUUUUCUAAUUCUUUUGUUCAGAUAAAAAAAAAUAAGUACAUGUACUGGUUAAUGAAUGGUAGCUAUAUAGAAGCCUAAUCACAUUCUUGUUCUAGGUACGAAGAAAACCAUAUUAAAAUAGCUUUAUGUGCUGAAGUUAUAUAACCAAGUUAAUAAAGUGAACAAAUGUAAUAAGAUGCUCACAAAAUAUACCAAGCUUACCAAAACCUUCAUAAAGUUUAGUGUAAUUGAAUCGGAAGUACUUAGCUAUAGGUUGGAAGCUAAAAUUAAAUUUCCGGGACAAUCAGAAGUCAAUAUAUGCUAGUAAACAUUCUCAAGUACAACUGUAUGUAAGUAUUCUUCACUUGUGUUUGGUAGAUACUCUUUAUGAAGAUAACCAGGAUCGUUACUUUGACUCGGAGGAUGAGCGGCUGCCUACAGGUUUGUCAGGGUAUCGGGAUUCACCGGGCGAAAGCGAUGUUGACGACGAGUUUGAAAGUGUGUCACAGGUCACAGGCCCUAGGAGACCGGUGUGGAAUGUAACAGAUUCUGAUGGAGAAUCCUUUCUUCCCAAGGCAUCGAGAACUCUGCCAGAGCCCUCCCGCUCCAAAUCAACUAAGUACAAGUCAGACAGAUUUGCAUCAUCAGUGCCAACCAAAUUCAAGGGGGAGGCCUACCCAAGCCAGUCAAUGGAGAGUGCUGACUCUUUCUUACAGGCAGGCAAGACUUGGACCCCAGGACGGGAAUAUGAGG